rnacentral:lncRNA from 1 species
GAAAUGAGAAUAUAGCUGGAACGAGUCGGGGAACGGAGUGAUGGACCAGAUGAUAGUAUUAGUAGUCCUCACUAUUCUGUUAAAUAGUGUGAUAAUAAAUGUAAUGAGGACUUAUUCUGAGAGUGGAUAUUGUCUAGAAGACAAUAUUUGUAUUUAAACUCACAGCUCUCUUAUUGUAUAAUUAAGAUUGUAUUUGUAUUCUGUACCAUGUAUUUGACGACUCAGAA